GUCUUCUUGUUUAUAUAAGAAGUCUGACCUGCCCGGUGAUUUAAAUUUAACGGCCGCGGUAUUUUUGACCGUGCAAAGGUAGCAUAAUCAUUAGUCUUUUAAUAGGAGGCUGGUAUGAAGGGUUUGACGAAGAAUUAGCUGUCUCAAUUAAUUUUAUAUUAAAAUUUAACUUUUUAGUCAAAAGGCUGAAAUUUAGUUGGAAGACGAGAAGACCCUAUAGAGUUUUAUAAAUUUUUUGUAGUUUGUUAUAUAAUUUUCAUAUUUUGGAAAAUUUAUUUUGUUGGGGUGACAAGAAUAUAAAUUUAACUUUUUUAUUUAUUAAUCAUUGAUUAAUGUUUAUUAGAUCCAGUCUUACUGAUUGUUAGAACAAGUUACC
rnacentral:rRNA from 2 species